rnacentral:ncRNA from 1 species
CUUAGGGGAGCUUGUGAGCAGGCUGAGAGGAAGUCGUCAACUUCGACCCUUAUACCUGAUUUGGAUAAUGCCAACGUAGGGAAAAGGCUU